rnacentral:pre_miRNA from 1 species
CUUGUACUCCCUCCAUCCGAAAAUACUUGUCAUUGAAAUGGAUGUAUCUAGAUGUAUUUUAGUUCUAGACACAUCCAUUUUGAUGACAAGUAAUUCUGGACAGAGGGAGUACUUG